AUUUAAAGUCCAAAACCAGGUACAUCUAGAUGUUAGUAGUAGUUACAUUUGGGAAAAUGGAGUAAGUGAGAUGGGCAGAAGCAUAAGGGGGUCUUCUGAGACUCGGGCAAUGGUGAUUCUUGAGUGGGUGGCAGUUAAUAGAAGUUUGUUUUGUGAUAAUUCAUGAAGGGACACAUUUAUGUUUUAAAGUAGCAGUAGUAAUGGAAACAAAAACAUGAAGGAAAGAGAAUGAUUUGGAAGAAUGUUAAUUCUUUACUUUUGCUCCAUUAAACACAGGUAUAAAAAAGACUAAUUGAAGAGUCUAAUGUUAUUUACUAACAUUAUUUUCUAAGAUUUGCUUAAUGUCCAAAAAUUACUAUACAACUUUAACUUAUGCUGGCUAAAAGGUUUGAAAUAGCCGAGUGAGGGCUAAAGCUGGAAGACCAAUAGGGCAUUCAUCUCACAGGUCAAAUGUUAUCACCCAAUUCUCCAAGUACACAUAAUCCAUAACAGAAGGCUGCCUUCUAAUUGCCUAUCCUGGUGCCAUUUUGUCUGUCUGGAAAAAUCCCAACUCACCUUCAAGUCCAAAUUCAUUCAUCUUCUCCUCUGUUACUUACCUAGGUAUUAAUAGAACUGAUCUCUCCUUUCUCAUUACCAUUCAUACCUUGUAUCUGAUUUAUGAUAGCCCUAUGAUAUAUUAAAAUUCUUCAUAUUUUUUCUCUUCUAUCCCACUGUAAGUAACUUAAGGGCAGGAACUAUAUUUCAUUCAUUAUUCUCUCCAGUGCUUAUCUGAACAGUUAGCUCACAGCAGGUAUCAGUAAGGAAGGGUUGUUAAGUGAAAUAAAUGGGAAGAGACUGACAGAGAAGGUUACUCAGCUAGUGCUUUGGAAAGCGGGGUGGGGAGGAAGUGGUCCAAGAGCUGACAUCAUGAUGGAGGCCAGAACUAGAGGCUGAAGCACACUGACACUGGUAAGCCAAGCUGGCAGGUACUGGUAUAAAAGUGAGAUGAAUAACUGAAGGCCAGAGUACAAGUCUAACAGCCCCUGUUGGGACUAGUCAGAAACUAGGCCACAUACACACUAGUUAUAAGAGCCAGAGACAAUGUAGAGGCAAUUUAAACCACAACUAAUCAUAAAAUGGAAGGUGAUGCAUAAAUAGUUUUCUAAAGUAGAACUGCAAGGUGGCAAGCCAAGUUGUGCUGCUGUUUUGGUGGUACGUAGCCUAGUACCACUAGUAUGAUUCAUAUUAGAAUGCCCCAGUUUGUUUGGCUUUGCCAUUAUUGAGGAGAGGGACUUGUUGGUACUGAAGCAAGGGGAAUUACAGGAGAUGGGCAUGGUUUCAUUAUGACAGGUGAAUUUGGGAGGUAGGAAAUCAACCAUUGUGGGUGUAUAUACCGCAAUAUAUAUGUGAGUUUUACUCUUGGUCUAUGGUGACUGAGAUACUACUUCUAGUCACUUUGAUCUUAUUUAAAAGGUCUGACAGAUUCUACAUGUCCAAAAUAUACCACCACGUUUACAAG
rnacentral:lncRNA from 10 species